CCUACGGGCGGCAGCAGUGGGGAAUAUUGGACAAUGGGCGAAAGCCUGAUCCAGCCAUGCCGCGUGUGUGAAGAAGGCCUUCGGGUUGUAAAGCACUUUCAGUGGGGAAGAAAGCCUUGGGGCUAAUACCCUCGAGGAAGGACAUCACCCACAGAAGAAGCACCGGCUAACUCCGUGCCAGCAGCCGCGGUAAUACGGAGGGUGCGAGUGUUAAUCGGAAUUACUGGGCGUAAAGCGCGCGUAGGCGGUCUGAUAAGCCGGUUGUGAAAGCCCCGGGCUCAACCUGGGAACGGCAUCCGGAACUGUCAGGCUAGAGUGCAGGAGAGGAAGGUAGAAUUCCCGGUGUAGCGGUGAAAUGCGUAGAGAUCGGGAGGAAUACCAGUGGCGAAGGCGGCCUUCUGGACUGACACUGACGCUGAGGUGCGAAAGCGUGGGUAGCAAACAGGAUUAGAUACCCCGGUAGUC
rnacentral:rRNA from 1 species